rnacentral:lncRNA from 1 species
GUGAGGACGCAGGUUCCACCCCUGGCCUCCUUCAGUGGGCUAAGGAUUCAGCGUUGCCGUGAGCUGUGGCUGUAGGUCAAAGAUGCGGCUCGGCUCUGGCAUGGCUGUGGCUGUGCUACAGGUCAGCAGCUACAGCUCCGAUUGGACCCCUAGCCUGGGAACCUCCAUACAUUGUGGGUGCGGCCCUGAAAAGAAAAAAUAAAUCCCUCUCUCUAGCUCUCUGUGUUUCGUCGUGGUGCUGUUUCUCUGGAGAGCCCUUCCUUAACUCUAUACCUGCUAAGCAAUCACUCCCCACGCUCCCCCGCCCCUGUCUGCCAUUCAUCUGCGUUUGUCUCUGGAUUUGCCUCUUCUGGACAUUUCAUGUCCAUGGAAUCCUGCAACACGUGGUCUUUUGUGUCUGGUUUCAGCUCCCUCCGCACCACGUUGUCAGCACCCAUCCGCGCCGGGGCCUGGAUCACGACUUCAUCCCGUUUACUGCUGCCUCACCUUCCACUGGAUCGUCAGAUGCCCUCGUGUGUGUCCUCCAUCCUUAGCGGCUGCCCGGCUGCGUACGUGCCAGGAGCCGUGGGCGCUCACCAGCCAGGACUCCACGUGGAGCAGAGAGAACAUCAGGGAAAAUGUCAAACAUCGCUUGUCGAGUGGCUCACGGACCAUCGACUGUGCGUCAAUCAAGUACCAGCCGAAGUCUCAACUAUCAAGCGCACGGUGGCACCCAAAGGGGGCGGGGAACCUGGGUCACACACCAGCACCGGCCUAGCUCUGGGCACACGCAGGGCUGACUGGGUGGAUCCCGGGCUGUAACUCUCCAUCCAACCGCUGCCUUCAGUGCUCCUUGGAGCUGCACAGGGCUGUGUGCUGUGAGUCAGUGGACCUCGGCUCAGACCCAGGGCACGGGCGUUCUCAGAGACCCGCCGUCACGAGAUCGCACAGCCCAAAGAUCAAGAGGAAGUCAGCUAAUUUCUGCCCUCUCUUCUUGGGCUUGGCUCUCACCGCAAAGGUGGCAUCUUCUCCAUUUGGAAGCUUGGUCCUUUUAGGAAGCCGGGCCGUGCAAUUAAUUUAUUCAUUCAUUUAAAGGCUUUUGAAACGGAUCCUCUCUGUUAAAAAAAAAAGAAGUGGCGGCGGAAGGGGGAUGGACGAGGAGGGUGUUCUGGGUUGAAUUGUGCCCCCCCCGCCCCCGAAAAACGAUAUGCGAAGAGCUAACUCCUAGUCCUUCCGAUUGCAGCCUUAUUUGGAAGUAGGGUCAUUGCAGAUGCAAUUCGUUCCAUUAAGGCGAGGUCACGCUGGGAUUGGUGGGACCUGGAAUCCAGUUUAACGGAUGUCCUUGUGAGAAGGGAAAACACAGAUGCAGGCAGGCCUGCCGUGUGAACGCAGAGACGCGAGCGAGGAGCCGAGUGACGGCAGAGCAGAGGUUAGGGGACCCCACUGCAGGCCCGCGAGCUGAGGGUGGCCGGCCACCCCCCGAAGCCAGAAGAGGCUCGGAAGGAGCCAUCCCUGUGGGUUCCAGGAAGCAGAGCCCUGCCCACUGCUUGAUUUCAGAGAUCCGGCCUCCAGAACUUGGAGACAAUGCAUUUCUGUUGCUUUAAGGUACUCGGCCUCAGGCCUUUGGUAGGACAGCCCCAGGCCACUAACGCAGAGGGGACCCUCGGCAUCCCCACCAGGGCCUGCCAGCCUUCGGGGGCCUGGUCCAGAUCCGUGGUCCUGCCCACCCUUUCUCUGGCUUCCUCCUCACUUUGCUCUGGGCGUAAGACCCCUGCAGCCCCCCACACCAUGAGAGUUCUCGGGCCCGUCCAGGGCAUGGGUU